AGGAGGGGUUGCGUUGCGUGUGUUCUUGGAUGGAAUCUCUGCUCUCUCUGGGAGAGGCUGAGCCGGCAGCUUCCCGCCACCACCUGCAGUCGUAAAUCUGGACUCAGGUGGAUUCUUUACCAACUGAGCUAUGAGGGAAGUGGAAGCCCUGGUCAGAUAAAGCCUGGCACCUCUCCUCAGGAGCAGAGCAGGCCUGAAAGUCUGGGAAGAGGCAUCACAAGCCAGGGUUGCCACCUUCUGCCCCGGAUGAAACCAAGCUAACUUCCUCUCUGACCAGGUGGUUAAACAGCGCUAGAUCCAAACAUACAUAUGUACUACAGGAGGCCAUGGAGGCCGUUGGCUCAGCCUCACCCACAGAGAACACAGGUUCUGUCAGAAACCCCUGCUGCUCCUGGAG
ensembl:lncRNA